AAGGAGAUAACCAGAGACAGAGAAGGAUAUUACCUGAUAAUAAAAAGCACAUCCACCAAGACAUAGCAAUCCUAACUGUGUAUUCACCAAACAACAGAGCUGCAAAAUAUGUGAAGCAAAAAUGAUAAAACUGAAAUGGAAAAGGCAAAUCCACAAUUAUAAUUAGAGACUCUCUCAACAAUUGAUAAAACACAUAGACAGAAAAUCAGCAACAAUAUAGACUUCAACACCACUAUCAACCAACAAGAUCUAAUUGACAUUUUUCAGAGCACACCUCCGAAUUAACAGCAAAAUAUAUGUUCUUUCCAAGUGCUCUUAGAAUAUAUACCAAGAGAGGACAUAUUUUGGGCCAUAAAGGACAAAAUGAUAACAGAAAAAUCUCUAAACACUUGAAAACCAAACAACAUACUUCUAAAUUUCACAGAGGAAAUUUCAAGGAAAAUUUAAUUUUUCUUCUGAGUGAAAGUGAAUGAAAUUGAAUGAACUAAAUGAAAGCAUAACGUGAACAUUUGUGAAACACAGCUGAAGCAGUGCUAAGACAGAGAUUUAUAUCACUCUACAUUAGAAAAGAGGAAAAGCCUUGAAUUAAUAAUCUAAUCUCCUGCCUCAAGAAUCUAGAGGAAGAAGGGUAAAAUACACCCAAGGAUAUAUUUUGGAAGGAUGAAAAUAAUAAAAGAGCAGAAAUUAAGGAAAUUAAAAAUAAAAAAUUAGAGAAGAAGUAAUGAAACUAAAGCCUGAUUCUUUGAAAAGGACAAGAAUGUUUUUUGUUUUGUUUUGUUUUGUUUUGUUUUUUUGAGACAGAGUCUUACUCUUGUUGCCCAGGCUGAAGUGCAAUGGCACAAUCUUGGCUCUCUGCAACCUCCACCUCCCAGGUUCAAGCGAUUCUCCUGCCUCAGCCUCCUGAGUAGCUGAGAUUACAAGCGCCUGCCACCACACCCAGCUAAAUUUUGUAUUUUUAGUAGAGACGNNNN
rnacentral:lncRNA from 1 species